rnacentral:rRNA from 1 species
GACGAACGCUGGCGGUGUGCUUAAUACAUGCAAGUCGAGCGAUAAGGCCCCUUCGGGGGUACAUAAGCGGCGGACGGGUGAGUAAUACGUAGGAAAUCUACCUCAAGGAGGGGGACAACAUCGGGAAACUGGUGCUAAUACCCCAUAUGUCAUAAUCUGAAAUGGUUAUGAUGAAAGUUCUGGCGCCUUGAGAUGAGCCUGCGGCUGAUUAGCUAGUUGGUGGGGUAAAGGCCUACCAAGGCGACGAUCAGUAGCUGGUCUGAGAGGAUGAUCAGCCACAAUGGGACUGAGACACGGCCCAUACUCCUACGGGAGGCUG